UGCAAGUCGAACGAGGUGUGUGGAAGGUAACGGAAGCACACUUAGUGGCGAACGGGUGAGGAAUAGAUAGGUAACGUACCCUGGACUCAGGAAUAGCGGCGUCCCGACUUGUCGGGACUUUGCGAAAGUGCCGGUAAUACCUGAUGACACCCCCAAUACUCAUGUAUUGGGGGUCAAAGGUCCGCCGGUCCGGGAGCGGCCUAUCUCCUAUCAGCUUGUUGGUGGGGUAAUGGCCUACCAAGGCUUCGACAGGUACCAGGCGUGAGAGCGUGACCUGGCACAUCGGGACUGAGACACUGCCCGGACAUCUACGGAUGGCUGCAGCAACGAAUAUUCCGCAAUGGGCGCAAGCCUGACGGAGCGACGCCGCGUGUAGGAUGAAGCACCUCGGUGUGUAAACUACUGUCAGGGGUUAGGAAGAAAGUGACCAACCCCACAGGAAGCCUCGGCUAACUCCGUGCCAGCAGCCGCGGUAAUACGGAGGAGGCAAGCGUUGUUCGGAAUCACUGGGCUUAAAGAGUGCGUAGGCGGGAAAGCAGGUGUCGGGUGAAAGCCCUCGGCUCAACCGAGGAACUGCUCGGCAAACCGCUUUUCUUGAGGCUAGCAGAGGAACCCGGAACCUUGGGUGGAGCGGUGAAAUGCGUAGAUAUCCAAGGGAACGCCAGCG
rnacentral:rRNA from 1 species